rfam:Myotis brandtii contig314756, whole genome shotgun sequence.
GUCCAGGGCCGCAUCACCCUGAACUCGCCUGAUCUUGUCUGAUCUCAGAAGCUAAGCAGGAUUGGGCCUGGUUAGCACUUGGGUGGGAGGCCACCUGGGAAUACUGGGUGCUGUAGGUU